UACACGAUGUGAAUAAUGAUUAGAAGAACCAUUAUCCCCGAGCUCUAAUGGCGCGAUAGUUAAUUUUGCAAAAGUGCCCAAAUUAAUCCCUUUGGUCGCUUUACCAGGAUUCAAUGAUACAACGUUUUCAACGUUCUAUAACAUUAGUUAAAACAAAGUAGAAAAUUAACAUACCUUUACGAAAUAACGUAAAUCACUUGGUAAAAUUAGUAUGUCCGGCAUAGUAUUUAGGAAUUCACCAAGUUUAAGAUGUGCGAUAUCUAAGUUUGAAGGGUUGCACUUUUCAAGAGAACCUCCAGGGAAUAAGGGAUAAAAAUGCCUUUGGUGAAGUACGUGAGAAACCAAACGUGCAAAUAAGUUACCAUGAGAAGGUAGACGAAAUAACUCUUCUCUAGAUGUGUGAAGGAGUAUAUCGUUGGUUGACACACCAAAGACGACAUCAUUAAUGGAAAACAUGCAAGGAUUCGGGAAGCAUUUGAAGUUCUAUGGAUUGGUCAAUAAAAAUUAUUAUACAACUUAACAUACAGAUGGAAGACCUAAGGCCACCCGAUUAAAUGCAUCCUGUGGCCAUGCAGGAUGAUCUGAAGCAGCAUCAUUGAUGUGAGGAAUUAAAAUACAAGGACAAGUUAGCUGGCUUAAUAUGGGUGUGACACGCUCUUUAAACAACUCUUCCAAAGAAGUCGCAGACGUUCCUGUAAUGUUUCCGGUACGUAUUAGUAUAUGAUUAAUAUCCAAGAAUGGACCACAUAGAAUAACCAAGUCAACAGGAUUUUUAUUUACAUAUGAAAUCAUUGAUUUUAAAGGGGAAAAAGAGAGAUCAUCACGGAGAGACCAAGGUCCAGAUGCAAUAUAUAUAGAAAUUGGCUGAUUAUUUGUAUUAGCAACAAAGGUAGCGUGCUCCUGUUUAGAUGAACUUGGGAACGGCAAAGGAGGUAUAGGAAGGAUUUCCUUGGCGAUAAACAUGUUACCGCUAGGAUUGGAUCCUUUAACUGAAACAAUUUGACCAGGAAAUAUUGAGUAACUUGGUAGAUCAUCCACCUUCAAACGAACUCGAACACCAGCGCCUAGACGUCUUGAACUUUCAAGUAAAAUGCUAUUUUGGUUGAGUCUUCCACCUAAAUUGGUACUUUCGACAACAAUUCGUCCUACAACUACAACGGGUUCUUGAGUAAGUUCGCUAGGAUUUGCCAAAUCUUCAUCACUUAUGUUGUAUUUUCUGCAAGUUAAUGCACUAAAAAGCUCAAUGCGAUCAUCCAGAACUUCAGAAGAAUCAUAAAGCUUUUGAUACAUGAUCCUGUAAUUAAAUGCCUUGAGAUCAAAAUUCGCUACGAUAACCAGCUUGGAUGGAGCUGAAGGUUUUGAAGUUACAAUUUUUAAUUCUUUAUUUAAAACUUCCAAAACCCUUCCAGCGUCACUGGAAUUCAAUUCGAAAGUUUCGGUAGAUGGUUUAGACUCUUGCAUCAACGAGUCGCCUGAUGCGGUGGUCUUCACUGGUAGACCUAGUCUAGAUAUUUGUUAGUUAAAACCAUUUGCUAAUGUACGCACAUGCUAUCAAUAUUCAUUCCCGGGAUUUGCUUUAUCGAUUUUCUUUCAGGAUUCUGUUUAAGUGUGGCUUUUACCUGCCUCUCCAUUUGAAAUUUCAUGUCUUUAGCAAAGGCCUUGAAUGUGUCAAGGUCGAGUUUUGGUGUAUUUCCUCGUUGCAAACACCAGGACUCCCACUUGUAGAACAUUGUUUGCUCGUCCAUAUUGCAAAUUUGGAGAAGUUUAUUUCGCUCAUCUAGCAAUUCCUCAUCAUCGAUAGGAAAUUCCAUUUUUUUGAAGAUUGAAUGAAGUUGAAAAUGAAACAAGAUACCCAAAAAAAAAGACAGUAAAUGAAUACCUGGGAAUAUUACGAGCAAAUUAAUUUGAAGUGACUAAUUUUGUACUGUGAUGUGG